GGCAGUGACCAUACGAUGUUAGAAACACCGGUUCUCGUCUAAUCCCCGAAGUUAAGCAAAGUUGGGCCCAGUUAGUACUUGCAUGAGCGACCGGCUGGGAAUACUGGGCGUUGUGGUCG
rnacentral:rRNA from 1 species